rnacentral:rRNA from 1 species
AGGUUAACCGUAUAGGGGAGCCGUAGGGAAACCGAGUCUUAACUGGGCGAAUGAGUUGCAGGGUAUAGACCCGAAACCCGGUGAUCUAUCCAUGGGCAGGUUGAAGGUUGGGUAACACUAACUGGAGGACCGAACCGACUAAUGUUGAAAAAUUAGCGGAUGACUUGUGGAUGGGGGUGAAAGGCCAAUCAAACCGGGAGAUAGCUGGUUCUCCCCGAAAGCUAUUUAGGUAGCGCCUCGUGAACUCAUCUUCGGGGGUAGAGCACUGUUUCGACUAGGGGGUCAUCCCGACUUACCAACUCGAUGCAAACUGCGAAUACCGAAGAAUGUUAUCACGGGAGACACACGGCGGGUGCUAACGUCCGUCGUGAAGAGGGAAACAACCCAGACCGCCAGCUAAGGUCCCAAAGUCAUGGUUAAGUGGGAAACGAAGUGGGAAGGCUCAGACAGCCAGGAUGUUGGCUUAGAAGCAGCCAUCAUUUAAAGAAAGCGUAAUAGCUCACUGGUCGAGUCGGCCCGCGCGGAAGAUGUAACGGGGCUAAACCAUGCACCGAAGCUGCGGCAGCGACACAUAGUGUUGUUGGGUAGGGGAGCGUUCUGUAAGCCUGCGAAGGUGUACUGUGAGGUAUGCUGGAGGUAUCAGAAGUGCGAAUGCUGACAUAAGUAACGAUAAUGCGGGUGAAAAACCCGCACGCCGGAAGACCAAGGGUUCCUGUCCAACGUUAAUCGGGGCAGGGUGAGUCGACCCCUAAGGCGAGGCUGAAAAGCGUAGUCGAUGGGAAACGGGUUAAUAUUCCCGUACUGGUGGUAACUGCGAUGGGGGAACGGAGAAGGCUAGGUUGUCCGGGCGACGGUCGUCCCGGUUCAAGCAGGUAGGCAGAGUGAUUAGGCAAAUCCGGUCACUUAAUGCUGAGAUGUGAUGACGAACCACCAAGGUGGUGAAGCAAUUGAUGCCCCGCUUCCAGGAAAAGCCUCUAAGCUUCAGGUUACCAACAAUCGUACCCCAAACCGACACAGGUGGUCAGGUAGAGAAUACUCAGGCGCUUGAGAGAACUCGGGUGAAGGAACUAGGCAAAAUGGUGCCGUAACUUCGGGAGAAGGCACGCUGGCGGUAGGUAAAGUCCCUCGCGGACGGCGCUGAAGCCAGUCGAAGAUACCAGCUGGCUGCAACUGUUUAUUAAAAACACAGCACUGUGCAAACACGAAAGUGGACGUAUACGGUGUGACGCCUGCCCGGUGCUGGAAGGUUAAUUGAUGGGGUUAGCGUAAGCGAAGCUCCUGAUCGAAGCCCCAGUAAACGGCGGCCGUAACUAUAACGGUCCUAAGGUAGCGAAAUUCCUUGUCGGGUAAGUUCCGACCUGCACGAAUGGCGUAAUGAUGGCCAGGCUGUCUCCACCCGAGACUCAGUGAAAUUGAACUCGCUGUGAAGAUGCAGUGUACCCGCGGCAAGACGGAAAGACCCCGUGAACCUUUACUAUAGCUUGACACUGAACAUUGAGCCUUGAUGUGUAGGAUAGGUGGGAGGCUUUGAAGUGUGGACGCCAGUCUGCAUGGAGCCAACCUUGAAAUACCACCCUUUAACGUUUGAUGUUCUAACCUAGGCCCAUAAACUGGGUCGGGGACCGUGUCUGGUGGGUAGUUUGACUGGGGCGGUCUCCUCCUAAAGAGUAACGGAGGAGCACGAAGGUUGGCUAAGCAUGGUCGGACAUCAUGCGGUUAGUGCAAAGGCAUAAGCCAGCUUGACUGCGAGAGUGACGGCUCGAGCAGGUACGAAAGUAGGUCUUAGUGAUCCGGUGGUUCUGAAUGGAAGGGCCAUCGCUCAACGGAUAAAAGGUACUCCGGGGAUAACAGGCUGAUACCGCCCAAGAGUUCAUAUCGACGGCGGUGUUUGGCACCUCGAUGUCGGCUCAUCACAUCCUGGGGCUGAAGUAGGUCCCAAGGGUAUGGCUGUUCGCCAUUUAAAGUGGUACGCGAGCUGGGUUUAGAACGUCGUGAGACAGUUCGGUCCCUAUCUGCCGUGGGCGUUGGAAGAUUGAGAGGGGUUGCUCCUAGUACGAGAGGACCGGAGUGAACGCACCACUGGUGUUCGGGUUGUCAUGCCAAUGGCAUUGCCCGGUAGCUAAGUGCGGAAGAGAUAACCGCUGAAAGCAUCUAAGCGGGAAACUUGCCUCGAGAUGAGUCUUCCCUGUCGCUUUAAGCGACCUAAAGGAACGUUUAAGACUAAGACGUUGAUAGGCUGGGUGUGUAAGCGUAGCGAUACGUUGAGCUAACCAGUACUAAUGAACCGUGAGGCUUAACCUG